AAGUCCCCGGAUUUCAAAGCCCCAAAAAACGAGACAUUUGAAAGGUCCUACUGAUUGACCCACUAAAGCCAUGAAAGUGACCUUUUGGAUUAGAAAAAUGGCCUCUGAGACCCGAACCCGCGUUGAUCGAAGAGCUGCUAACAAAAGAAAAGGGCGAAGGCAGGAUG